rnacentral:misc_RNA from 1 species
AAGUCGUAACAAGGUUUCCGUAGGUGAACCUGCGGAAGGAUCAUUAACGAGUUUUGAAACGGGUUGUAGCUGGCCUUCCGAGGCAUGUGCACGCCCUGCUCAUCCACUCUACACCUGUGCACCUACUGUAGGUUGGUGUGGGCUCCUUCGCGGGAGCGUUCUGCCGGCCUAUGUAUAUUACAAACCCCUUAAAGAAACAGAAUGUAAACGCGUCUAACGCAUCUUAAUACAA